UACGUAGGGGGUAAGCGUUGUCCGGAAUGACUGGGCGUAAAGGGAGUGUAGGCGGUUUAUUAAGUUGAAUGUGAAAGCCUGGAGCUUAACUCCAGAACUGCAUUCAAAACUGGUAGACUUGAGUGUGGGAGAGGUAAGUGGAAUUCCUAGUGUAGCGGUGGAAUGCGUAGAUAUUAGGAGGAACAUCAGUGGCGAAGGCGACUUACUGGAACAUAACUGACGCUGAGGCUCGAAAGCGUGGGGAGCAAACAGG
rnacentral:rRNA from 1 species